GAUGAAGAACGUAGUGAAAUGCGAUAGGUAGUGUGAAUUGCAGAUGUAACGUGAAUCAUCGAAUCUUUGAACGCAAAUUGCACUCUCUGGUAUUCCGGGGAGUAUGCCUGUUUGAGGGUCGCCAAAUCAACAUCGAAAUUCAUUUGCUUUUGUAAAUGUUUAUCGGAUUUGAGCCGUCUUUUUAUUUUUUUUAAAGUGGCUUAAAAUGUAUUUUUUUGGUAUCGAAAAACGUUAUUUUACGAUCCAAUCGAUCAAAAAACAAACGUUUCGAAUGCCGUCUUUUAAUGUAAUACGUUUGACUGUGUCAUACAAUCAUGGUUUCAUUCGUAUACGAGUUUAAUUUUUGACCUCAAAUCAGGUAAGAACACCCGCUGAACUUAAGCAUAUCAAUAAGCGGAGGA
rnacentral:misc_RNA from 1 species